rnacentral:lncRNA from 1 species
AGACUGUGCGGUGGCAGCCAUGGCGGACGGUUGAGAUGAGGCUGCUCCUGGGUCUCGCGGCUAUCCAAGACCAUUGAGGGUCCCCGGCGGCGCCUGCCGUCUGCUGAGGCUGGGUGGACUCCUCUGCGGCAGAUCUCCUGUAAGAUGUGCUGGUAAGUGACGCUGCCCGGGGCCCAGCUCCUCGCUCCCAGAACCGGGCGCGCUGGUCACUGUUACUUCAUGGGGGAAAUUCUUACUGAAUCAACUAGUGACUUGGCCUACGGCUCCCAGGGGUUUUCUGAACUGUAAAAUACAUACCGAGAAUAAUAUUCAAGAAAAGGGGAUUUUGUGUAUAGAUGUGAUCAGCGUCUUUGUAAAAGGAAGGAAGUUAGUCCACUGCUACCGCCACAAUUCCGCCUCUGUCUGCCGGUGCCAAAUUGAAACGCAGACACAGAGUUUGGGGUAAAGGAGGGGAAAAAAAAUAGUUUAAUUGCUUUGCCAGGCAAAGGAGGAUCACAGCAGGUUAAUGCCUUAAAGACUGUCCCUUCCCCCCCACCCCAGUUAGAAAGAAUUGGAAGGAGUUUUAUAGCAAAAAGGAGAAAAACAGGUUUUCAGAUAGGAAUCAGUAUUGGGACAAACAUGCAUUCAUCUUUCUUUGGGUCAGUCUUGGUCAUCAAAGCUGGAGUCGGGAGAUUUUCACAGUGGUGGUUUUCUGGGUUAUUGCCUAGAAUAACAGUACUUGCGAAAGGGCCGUAUUGAUCAGAGAUCAGAACAAGCUUGGAAAGUUCCUGAAAAAACAUCCCAUGCUAAUAAUCUUUAACCCACAGGCCAUUGUGCUCAGGAUGCCUAAUCUUUAGCUUACAGGUGAUUGUGUUUAGGGUGUAACUAAGUCAGGAAGAAGAAUAAGCUGUUAAAUUUCAAAGUAUUCAUUUCAAAAAGAAGCGUAAGGAAUAUGAUUUUUCUCUGAGAGGUAUGAUAAGACUGCCUCUCCCAAGGCUGCUUGUCUUCCUCCCUCAAACAGAAAGGAUUGCUGUGUCCUUCUUACUAUCAAGAGUUGUCGGAGUUCCCGUCGUGGCGCAGUGGUUAACGAAUCCGACUAGGAACCAUGAGGUUGCGGGUUCGGUCCCUGCCCUUGCUCAGGGGGUUAACGAUCCGGCGUUGCCGAGAGCUGUGGUGUAGGUUGCAGAUGUGGCUCGGAUCCCGCGUUGCUGUGGCUCUGGCGUAGGCCGGUGGCUACAGCUCCCAUUGGACCCCUAGCCUGGGAACCUCCAUAUGCCGCAGGAGUGGCCCAAGAAAUAGCAACAACAACAAAAAGACAAAAGACAAAAAAAAAAAGAGUUGUCUCUGUCCAGGGGCUUCAGGAGGAAACCCAAGUAGGCCUAAUCCAACCCCAUGAUCUCUCCUCUCAGCUUCUGGUCCCGGCUGGUGCUCAGUACAGCUGAAUGCCCAGGGCUUUAGGGGCUUGAAGGAACGUGGGCUGCAAGCCUCCAGCGUGCUUGGGUCUGCGGUGACCCUGUGCAUUCCUACAGUGCUUGCAAGAAAAUUUUGAGAUGGUUUGAGGCCUUGCCCUGCUUCAUCCAGAGCAAGGUUAUAGAAAUUUCAGACACUGUUUUGCUCCCUUCCCUAUCUGGUGUGCUGGGCACUGUGCAGGUCUGUACCAUCUGAGGCGGUGACCACUUGACACAUUCGGUUAAAUUUAAGAUUCCGUCUUUCGUUCACACUAGCCACGGUUUAGAUGGAUGCUCAUUAGCCACACUUGGCAAGUGGCUGCUCUGUUGCACCGUGCACAUUAGAGAGCGUUAAUGUCUUUGAAGAAAUUGUUUUGGACUUUGGGUGUUUACCGUGCUCCAGGCUUGUAAAUUUUAUUAUAUCCUUCAAACGAAAGCCUUAGAAAAGUUGAAAAUGGGAGUUCCCUUGAUGGCUUAGUGGUUAAUGAACCCGACUAGUAUCCAAGAGGAUGCAGCUUCAAUCCCUGGCCUUGCUCAGAGGAUUAAGGAUCCUGCGUUGCCGUCAGCUGUGUAAGUUGCAGGCAAAGCUUGGAUCUGGCGGGGCUGUGGUGUAGGCCGGCAGCUGCAGCUCCGUUUGGACCCCUAGCCUGGGAACCUCCGUAUGCCUCGGGCAUGGCCCUAGAAAGAUGUAAAGGAAAAGAAAAUGAAGCUUGAGGGAGUGGUAAAGAUGGAGUUAGACCAGCUAGUAGGAAAUAGAGUGGAAAGGAAUAAUAGGGAUGGGCCAUGCCCUGGGGGAUAUUUACCAUUGGCAGGGAAACCAAAGAGAAGGAAGGGCCAGCCAGGUUCUAUAGCAGGGCCGAGUGUCCCCGGAGCUUACUGGGGGGCGGGGGUCGUUGCACAUUGAUCUUAAAGGAAGAUCUAAUAUAGCAGGGCCGAGUGUCCCCGGAGCUUACGGGGGGGGGGGGGUCGCAUUGAUCUUAAAGGAAGAUCUAGUGGGAGAGAAGGGCACUUGUGUUGAUUGAACUCUUGUCUUGCAGACUUAAUUCUUAACCCGCCAGAAGUCUUCGAGGACCACCGUUAGGCCAUCUUAGGUCCAGUACAGGUGGGGGAGCCACGGUCAGGAUUAAGUGUCCAGCGUUGCCUGGCCAGACACUGGAAGGUCAGGAUUGGAUGCCAGGCCGCUCCAACCCUACUGGCUCCACUCCUUUCCCGGAUGCCAGAUUGGAAGGGAGGGGUGGAAUCUAGAGGCAAUGGCUGGUUUGAGUCGGAGGGCAAUGCCAGGAUGGAGUAGGCAGCACAGCUCCUGAGCUCCUGGACGGUGGGGUCACACCACCACCCCUUCUCUCUUGAAGGUUAAGGCUUCUGGCAGAUUCGGGUCAGUCCCAAGUGCGACCGGUCUUCUGGGGCUGCCGUCCGCAGACCCUUCUCGCAUCCACGUACCUGGCGGCCUCCCUCAUCGCGUGCUGUUGGUAGGGGGGCGAGUCUGGCCCUGUACACGUCCUGACAGGCACCCGGCCCACCCCCAGCCAACUGUGCGCUGUGUUCCUGCCCCAGCACGAGACCUGUGGGGUGUCCGCGGCAGAAGAUGUCAGAGCUGGAAGAGACCUGAGAGGCGAUCCCCUUGGUGGGUGAUGGUUCUUCCGGGAAUCUGGUGGUUUGCGCGCCUUGUCGUCUGCUUCCAGAACAAGGAUCUUCGCUGUAUGCCAAGACCCAGACCCCUCUGACAUCGGAAUGACAAGUGGGAUAUUUAAUAAAACAGUUUCAAAUUUGGAGU